rnacentral:lncRNA from 1 species
UUCAUAUGAAGAUAAAGAUACAUAUUCUCCACAUUUUUCUCAUAAUUCCUUACCACCAUCUCCUUCCAAGAAAAGAAAACAACAUUUUUAUCCUUAACCCUACUUCCCUUUCAUUUUUUAUUCUCCUCAUUCACCCUAACUCUAUAGCAUUGUCCUCACUUUAGAAGUUUUUCAUCUCAUCUUGCAACCUUUUGAAACUUCAGCAACUCUAGCAAUAGUCUCAGCUUGCCAUUUGCUCAGCAUUGCCACCACUUCAGAAAUUUGUCAUCCCACCUUGGAACAUUUUAAAACUUUAUCAAAUCUACAAAAUGGCUGAAACUUACCACCUCCUCAUUUAUGCUUCCUCAGUUGAUCCAUAGAUGAUCCUGAAUGAAUAUUUAUUAUCUUAUUUCUUAGUAUUUAACUGUAAAUAGUCUAUGGCAAGUUGCCAUCGAAACAGAUUAUUCCACUAACUAAGCUGCAAAUAUGCAAGACUCAAAAUUAUUCCACUAACUAACUUGCUUGCGAUCAACAUUAGUAUCCAACAUCAUCCUUUCUGGUUCAAAACAUUGAGCAUCUACCUAGUGACCAUAUGAUGCAUGUGGGGAGCAUUGAGCUUCGUUUCGGCACCAGUGAUGCUCGUGGUCCUCUUCCACCAUGGCCAUACACUCUGCAUAUAGUACCAUCUACCACAUUGUAGUAUUAGAUUUCAUCAGAACCCUUGCAACUUCUAGGUCCAACAAGAAAGCAGAGGCAAACUUCUUGCUGCAAUUAUGUUCAUGCACGUGGAACAAAUAGUACAUGGUAUUAACUCUUCUGGGUGCGCUUAAAAAUUAAGUUACCAGAGACUCUUCACCAUACGUCUCUUGAAUAUUAUUGUAGGUACCAAGGUACACACUAAUGAUUCUCACACAUACAAUAAAGUUCGCACCGGUUUUUUCCAACUCUAGCUCAGGGAUAUGUACAAUUGUUAGCAUGCCCCAAACUUAUGCAACGAUAACAAUCAGCAAGCCGUUGCUGCCCUCAAGUUUAACUCCUCUCCACGCAUCAGAUAUUUUCCCAAUUGAGCAACGGACUUAUCACAAAAAUAGAAUUUUCUACCAAAACAGUAUUUGAGCCCAUGAUACCAAGUAUGCAUACACAAAAUGAAAGAAACAAGCAAUACGCUUGUUAACAGUGCAGACCUUCUACUCAAGGUGGUAGAGGAGCCGCAUAAGGUGCCAGCAGCAAGCACACCCCCGCACCGUCAUCUACACCUUCCUCUCCUGUCCUCACAUUCACAACUACAACCAAGAAUAGCAACAAAGUCACCCUCUUCGUUCUCAAAAGUAAGGAAAAUAAAACAAUUUUGAGACGGUGGACAACUGACCUUCUUGUCGAGCUUGAUCUUUCUCAUCCCACGUAAUCCAUGUCAGAUCGCCACCGCUUCCCGAAAAAUCAGCAACCUCCUUGCUCUCCCCACCUCCUAAUAUUAAAAUAUCGACAUGAUAGCAGCAACAACACAGGGAGGGUCUUGAGAAUGAAGUGCCAUGUUCAUACCGAAGGAAAAUAAUCAUGCUCAAAUAGAAAGAUAUGAAUUAUUAGUAGAAGGAAGACACCUAUUAUAGCAUGCAUAACUAUUCAGUAUGAUCGCAAUGGUGAAUAAAAUUGACAAAUACUUUAUGGGAGGGGGAAGAACGACCACGGAAAAGAGGUGACGGUGAUGGUCGGUUGUGGGCUCAGUUUUGUUGAGGCUACGAUAACUUCCAAUAGCGAGACUUGAAGCCAUGCAUGGUGAUCGUGGAGUCCGUCUAUUUGAGUCGGCGCACGCGUCCAUCAAACCCGUACACAACUACAUGAUUUGGAGGGAGUGACUGGCCAGCCACCACCAGAGCACUUGGUGGUAAACAAUAAAUCAAUAUCUUCCUCUCGCGCGAUUAGAAAGUUAGCGUAUUCCAAAAACAAAAGAAACAAGGCUAAAAAUGAACUGCUUGAACUCCUCUACCAAGAAUAAGCGGUCAUAGAAAGUCCAUUGCUGGCACCUCACUUCUUCUAUCAAAAUGUGUUCAACUACAUUAAUGUUUCAAAAUUGCAAGUGUACUCAUAGGUGAAAAUUGAAAUUUUCUACGAUGGACAUGUAAAACAGUCUAGGUGAAUUAGGGAAAGUCGGUAGCACAACGAAUGAAUAACCAAGCUGACAACACAAAUAAUGAUUAACUAAGUUGAUAGCACAAACAAAAGUAACCACUGAUAGCAAAGAACAAUAUGAUCUACGAGUACAUGAGGAAGAAAUAUGUAAAAAAUAAUGGUAGCUAUCUGACUGUUUAAGCAGUUCAUCUCAAGGGCAGACAUAGUCAGUAAACAAAUUGGUGAAAAGAAGACUGAAGUUGUACCGUAAUUCAUCCAUGGCAGCUAUGUAGGAUGCAUUAUGAUGUGGUUCACUCCGAAAGAGGCUCCCUAUCCAAUCCAAAACCUGAAAUCGAUUAAUUACUCAACGCCAGAUAAUCAAUGUACCACUACAUGGUACCAUGAAUCCAUAAUAACUAAUUAAUCUACAACAAUUCUAGACAUCAUUGACACUUAGACGUUGUAAAACCAAAUUACAGAUAGAUUUUCAGAUUAACCCGAGUCUAUAACCUUAUACGCACUACCACAUUCGAUGAACGGCGAAACAAUGUUCAGCACUACCACAUAUAUUGUGAAUCUUCCCUGAACUUUUCAGUUU